UCCCUGAUGGUCCAGUGGUUAGGACUCUGAGCUGCCAAUGCAAGGGGCAUGGGUUUGAUCCCUGGUUGGGGAA
rnacentral:tRNA from 1 species